GUGGGGAAUCUUGCGCAAUGGCCGAAAGGCUGACGCAGCGACGCCGCGUGUGGGAUGACGGCCUUCGGGUUGUAAACCACUGUCGGAAGGGACGAAUGGCCCGCAAGGGCAGUGACGGUACCUUCAAAGGAAGCACCGGCUAACUCCGUGCCAGCAGCCGCGGUAAUACGGAGGGUGCGAGCGUUGUCCGGAAUCACUGGGCGUAAAGGGCGCGUAGGCGGCCCGGUAAGUAGGGGGUGAAAUCUUGCGGCUUAACCGCAAGGCUGCCUUCUAGACUGCCAGGCUCGAGCACAGUAGAGGCAGGUGGAAUUCCCGGUGUAGCGGUGGAAUGCGUAGAGAUCGGGAAGAACAUCAGUGGCGAAGGCGGCCUGCUGGACUGUAGCUGACGCUGAGGCGCGACAGCGUGGGGAGCAAACAGGAUUAGAAACCCUAGUAGUCCC
rnacentral:rRNA from 1 species